rnacentral:lncRNA from 1 species
AGGGACUAUAAUUUAUUUUAUGAUGAUUUAACCGAAGGGUCUUUGCUAAGGGUAUCCCCACGUUCGCGGGACAUGACCGUAAUAUCGUAAUCGUAAGGCAACAAAGAGAGGUCCAAGAUCACUUAUUCAAAGGCAAAGUUUUACAAUUAAUUAUAUAAUUAGGAUGAAACUCCCCAUUAAAAUUAUUAAAAAUAAUAUAUUAAAAAAUUAAUACAUUAGAAAUUAAU